rnacentral:rRNA from 1 species
GACGAACGCUGGCGGCGUGCUUAACACAUGCAAGUCGAACGGAAAGGCCCUGCUUGCCGGGUACUCGAGUGGCGAACGGGUGAGUAACACGUGGGUGAUCUGCCCUGCACUUCGGGAUAAGCCUGGGAAACUGGGUCUAAUACCGGAUAGGAGCCAUUUUUAGUGUGAUGGUUGGAAAGUUUUUUCGGUGUAGGAUGAGCUCGCGGCCUAUCAGCUUGUUGGUGGGGUAAUGGCCUACCAAGGCGGCGACGGGUAGCCGGCCUGAGAGGGUGGACGGCCACAUUGGGACUGAGAUACGGCCCAGACGCCUACGGGAGGCAGCAGGGGGGAAUAUUGCACAAUGGGCGCAAGCCGGAUGCAGCGACGCCGCGUGGGGGAUGACGGCCUUCGGGUUGUAAACGCCUUUCGCUAGGGACGAAGCUUUUUGUGACGGUACCUAGAUAAGAAGCACCGGCUAACUACGUG